CAGAGAAUAGUUUAUAUAAAAUAUUAGUUUUGGGAAUUAAAGAUAAAAGAAUUUUUUUUCUCUGA
rnacentral:tRNA from 1 species